rnacentral:rRNA from 1 species
GAUGAACGCUGGCGGCGUGCUUAACACAUGCAAGUCGAACGGUGAACGAGGGAGCUUGCUCCCUCCGGAUCAGUGGCGAACGGGUGAGUAACACGUGAGCAAUCUGCCCUGGACUCUGGGAUAAGCGUUGGAAACGACGUCUAAUACCGGAUACGAGGCGUGGGGGCAUCCCCAACGCCUGGAAAGAACUUCGGUCCAGGAUGAGCUCGCGGCCUAUCAGCUAGUUGGUGAGGUAACGGCUCACCAAGGCGACGACGGGUAGCCGGCCUGAGAGGGUGACCGGCCACAAUGGGACUGAGACACGGCCCAGACUCCUACGGGAGGCAGCAGUGGGGAAUAUUGCACAAUGGGCGCAAGCCUGAUGCAGCAACGCCGCGUGAGGGACGACGGCCUUCGGGUUGUAAACCUCUUUUAGCAGGGAAGAAGCGAAAGUGACGGUACCUGCAGAAAAAGCACCGGCUACUACGUGCCAGCAGCCGCGGUAACAC